AGAGAUCCGUAGGGGCUUAUAGUUUAAUUGGUUGAAACGUACCGCUCAUAACGGUGAUAUUGUAGGUUCGAGCCCUACUAAGCCUAC
rnacentral:tRNA from 1 species